GAUGAACGCUGGCGGCGUGCCUAAUACAUGCAAGUCGAGCGAACGGACGAGAAGCUUGCUUCUCUGAUGUUAGCGGCGGACGGGUGAGUAACACGUGGAUAACCUACCUAUAAGACUGGGAUAACUCGGGAAACCGUAGCUAAUACCGGAUAAUAUUUUGAACCGCAUGGUUCCAAAGUGAAAGACGGUCUUGCUGUCACUUAUAGAUGGAUCCGCGCUGCAUUAGCUAGUUGGUAAGGUAACGGCUUACCAAGGCAACGAUGCAUAGCCGACCUGAGAGGGUGAUCGGCCACACUGGAACUGAGACACGGUCCAGACUCCUACGGGAGGCAGCAGUAGGGAAUCUUCCGCAAUGGGCGAAAGCCUGACGGAGCAACGCCGCGUGAGUGAUGAAGGUCUUCGGAUCGUAAAACUCUGUUAUUAGGGAAGAACAUAUGUGUAAGUAACUGUGCACAUCUUGACGGUACCUAAUCAGAAAGCCACGGCUAACUACGUG
rnacentral:rRNA from 1 species